rnacentral:rRNA from 1 species
AUUGAACGCUGGCGGCAUGCUUUACACAUGCAAGUCGAACGGUAACAGGGAGCUUGCUCCGCUGACGAGUGGCGAACGGGUGAGUAAUGCGUCGGAACGUGCCGAGUAGUGGGGGAUAACGCAGCGAAAGUUGUGCUAAUACCGCAUACGUACUGAGGUAGAAAGUGGGGGACCUUCGGGCCUCACGCUAUUCGAGCGGCCGACGUCUGAUUAGCUAGUUGGUGAGGUAAAGGCUCACCAAGGCGACGAUCAGUAGCGGGUCUGAGAGGAUGAUCCGCCACACUGGGACUGAGACACGGCCCAGACUCCUACGGGAGGCAGCAGUGGGGAAUUUUGGACAAUGGGCGCAAGCCUGAUCCAGCCAUGCCGCGUGUCUGAAGAAGGCCUUCGGGUUGUAAAGGACUUUUGUCCGGGAGCAAAUGCUGGUGGCUAACAUCCACCGGAGCUGAGAGUACCGGAAGAAUAAGCACCGGCUAACUACGUGCCAGCAGCCGCAGUAACAC